rnacentral:miRNA from 1 species
CAAGAAAAGAAGUCGGGAGAG